UCCUCUGAUUCAACGAUUGGAGAAGAUAUUCCUUAGAUUACUCGCAGCCACACGAAGUCGUCUGGCCUCUACAGAAAAUCUACGCAAAGACUGGCGCAGAUCAGGGGCUUGGAGAUGCUAGCCUACAAGUAACUUUGACAACUGAUCUUUUCCUUCUUCUUCAAGCAACUUGGAUACUUCAAAGUAAGAAGAGAUCUGG
rnacentral:lncRNA from 1 species